UACAUGGGGUGCAAACGUUGCUCGGAAUCAUUGGGCGUAAAGCGCGCGUAGGCGGUUACACAAGUUGAAUGUGAAAGCCCUCGGCUUAACUGAGGAAGUGCAUCCAAAACUGUGCAGCUAGAGUACUAAAGAGGGUCGCGGAAUUCCCGGUGUAGAGGUGAAAUUCGUAGAUAUCGGGAGGAACACCGGUGGCGAAGGCGGCGACCUGGGUAGAUACUGACGCUGAGGCGCGAAAGCGUGGGGAGCAAACAGG
rnacentral:rRNA from 1 species